AGAUAUGAUCCAGAGUACCACGGGACACGUGAAACCCUGUGGGAAGCAGGAGGGACCACCCUCCAAGGCUAAAUACUACCUAGUGACCGAUAGCGUAUAGUACCGUGAGGGAAAGGUGAAAAGAACCCCGGGAGGGGAGUGAAAUAGAACCUGAAACCCUGCACUUACAAGCUGUGGAAUCACAUUUCUUGUGUGACCGCGUACUUUUUGAAGAACGGGCCAACGAGUUACGUUAAGUAGCAAGGUUAAGCACUUAAGGUGUGGAGCCGUAGCGAAAGCGAGUUUUAACUGAGCGUUCAGUUACUUGACGUAGACCCGAAACCGGGCGACCUACCCAUGGGCAGGAUGAAGCGAAAGUAAAAUUUCGUGGAGGUCCGAACCCACGAGCGUUGAAAAGCUCGGGGAUGACUUGUGGGUAGCGGUGAAAUUCCAAUCGAGCCCGGAGAUAGCUGGUUCUCCCCGAAAUA
rnacentral:rRNA from 1 species